AGCCUGCUGCUUGAUGUUCUUUCACAGGAAAAAGUGCAGAGGCACCUCAAACCCUCCUGCCUUCUCCCUUCUCCCUCCUCCCUCCUGCAUCAGAUUAACCACCCCACUCCAUAGCUGACCUGCUGGAAAGAAAGAACAGUGGCCUGCACAGGGCCUAAAGGCAUCUGGACCUGCCUGAAUCCAGCUCCUCAGGGGCUCUCUGCUGGGAAAAGUCCUAAGAAACGGGCUACUGCAGUUUCUGCCCUUCCCAAGGCACAGACUGUUGCUACUUUAGUCCAUGCUUGGCUUGAAGUCCCCUGCAGCCUAACCUCUUGUGGUAGGAGGGCCUGAGUUCCAGAAGACUGACAGUGAUGCAGAUGAGAUAUUCCUACCUGGCCAGCCCUUGCUAAUGGCAAGAAGGAAUGAAGAUCAGCUGGCGCAGCUGCUCUGUUGCCCCAGGAUUCACUGCUACAGAGAACAACACACCCUGGCCGGAGCAGGCGUCAGUUCUCCAGCUCUGAGCAUUACAGACUUUCCAAGAGCCAGGCCAGUAGUGCUGCUCAGCCAGCAGCCUGGCAGCAGAGGCCACCCCUGGACUCCUCCUAUGCCCCUAGCCACAGGCUGAGGUCUCCAGACCCCAUCUCAGCAGCUCUGUAGUAUGGUGUCACAUUGUACCUGGUUCCCAUUCCCUGGCCAUUUUCCCACUUGCUAUGUUUAAUGUAUAGUGUGAACAUUUGGCAAGCAUACGGAGAGCAGGGGCUUAAAAUCCAUAGUAACUCAGAGGCCUUCACCUUCAACAGGCUAUGUUUAAUGUAUAGUGUGAACAUUUGGCGAGCAUACAGAGAGCAGGGGCUUAAAAUCCAUAGUAACUCAGAGGCCUUCACCUUCAACAGGUUCAUCUCAUUGCCCCCACCUUCAUACCAACAUUUGAAAGAACUUGGGUGGGUGUCUGCUUUCUUCUUCUAUCUUGUGAAUCACAGCAGUCAAACUCAGUCCAGUCUUGGCAGCAAGCACCUAUACCAGCAGAGCCAUUUCACCAGCCCCAGUCGUCCUUUUCUACAGACAGAUCUGCAUCUACAUUGUUGAACAUCUAUUGUUUGUCUUUUCCUCAUCAAUCUUUAGGAAGAAAAGGUAGGAGAAUAUCCCAGAGUGGGGCUAGCCUGGGCUUCACCUCCAGUGUGGGGCUACCCUUGCCUCCAUCUGCAGUGUGAGGCUAACUUAGGUUCCACCUCCAGUGUGGGGCUAGCCUGGGCCCCACCUCCAGUGUGGGGCUAACCUGGGCUCCACUUCCAGUGUGAGGCUAGCCUUGCCUCCACCUCCAGUGUGAGGCUAGCCUGGACUCCAUAGUGAAUACCGUCUAGCACUCAGGAGCAAAGGGGACCAAGAACUCAAAGUCUGUGUGAAGAGAGCUUGAUGGAUUAAGUGCAUGCAUGAGGACUGGAAUUCAGAUCCCCAGCCGUAUGUAAAAACCUGAGCAUGUCAACCCGUGCCUAUAACCCUAGAGAGGAAGACAGCCAGUCUAGCUCAAACGGCAAGCCCCAGGUUCAGUCAGAAACCCUGUCUGGAAAAGAAAGAAAGAAAGGAAGAAAGAAAGAAAGAAAGAAAGAAAGAAAGAAAGAAAGAAAGAAAGAAAGAAAGAAAGAAAGAAAGAAAGAAAGAAAGAUAGAAGAGAGAGAGAGAGAGGGAGAGAAGGAAAGAGAAAGGAAAGAGAAAGAAAGAGAAAGGAAAGAAAGAGAAAGAGAUAGAAGAAGGCAUCUGAGACAUCUGAUUCACAUAUGCACACACAUGCAUAAUACACACACAUGCAAAUACAUAUGUGCACAUGUGCAUGCACACAUACAUACACAUAUGCACACACAUAUAUAAACACACGCACACAAACAUACACAUGCCUGUGCACACACACACAGAGGCAAGUUCAAGAUCAUUUUUGCUAUGAUAGUUACCUUUCUUAUCUCUGUAACAAAACACCCGAGGAAAGUAACCUAAGAAAAGGCUUCUUUCAGUUUCCAGGCUCGGGGUCCAGCCCUUCAUGAUGUGGAAGCAGGCAGCAGGAGUGUGAGGGAGCUCGGCUCACUGUGUUUACAGGCAGGGAACAAGACCCAUGAAUGGUGGUGUUCAACAUUCAGCUCGUUUGCCUUCUGUUUUUCUUUGGUUUGGUUUGAUUUGCUUUCUUUAUUUGCUUUUUUCAAGCAGGAUUUCUCUGUGUAGCCCUGGCUGUCCUGCAGUUCGACCUGUAGACCAGGCUGGCCUUCAACACAGACAUCCAUCUACCUCCACCUUCCAAGUGUUGGGGUGGAAGGUAUACCGUGUCUAGUCCAUCUCUUGCUUUUUUUUUUCUUCAGUGCAAGACUCCAUUCUGUGGAAGGGUGGCUGCUUGCAUUCAAAUUUGUCUCCCCUUCCCUGUUAAAUCUCUCUGAAACCCUCACAGACCUGUGCAGAGAGGUGUCUCACGGUGAUUCUACACCCAGUCAGACCGAAAAUGAAGAUAACCAUCACACUUGACUACGUAGUCAAUUUUAGGCCAGCCUGUGCUACCUGAGACACAAAAAGAAGCUCAUCUUGUAUUGAUCAUAUUCUUUUGAAAAUGUUUCCCUUGUCUGUAGUUUAUUGGCAUCAGUUUAUGAUUGACUCUUAUGACAACAUAAUUUAAAUUUGAUCGUAGUUGAUUUUGUCCCUCUAUUUUACUGUUUUUUGUUUGGGUGUGUUUUCAAGACAGGACUUCUUUGUGUAGUUCUGACUGUCCUGAAACUCGCUAUAUAGACCAAGCUGGCUUCAACCCCAGAGACAUGCCUGCGUCUGCCUCCUGAGUGCUGAGAUUAAAGGCAUGUGCCACUAUGCCUGGUUACAAUUUGAUUUUAAAUAUCCCACUGAAGAAAUAUUUCCCCAUCAAAGGCCAAAAAGAAGUCUUUUUUAUUAUUCAACAAAAACGUUUUAGCUCUUGGAGGGGAACUCAGAGCCUCAUGCAAGCUAAGUAGAGGUCUACCUCAGAUCAAUAUUCCUGGCCCUUCCCUUUAUUCUAAAAGUUUCAAGUUUUGCUUUGACUAGAUCUUCCAUUCACACAGAGCUUGCACCUGGAAUGGUAAAGGAGACCUCUGGUGUACAAUGGUCACACUGAACACUGUCCUGGCACUGAUGCCCGCCUGCCCCCGCUAUAGGCCUUGUUCUCAUUCAUCUGUCGGCUGCUGGCUGAGCCCUGAGGCUCUGCUGGUCUAUGACAAUCAUGCUGCAAAGCCUUCUCUUCACACCUGCACAUUAGAGGAGCUCUCUCCUCCAGGAACAUCGCUAUUUCUAGUUCACUGAGCAAAGAAAAACAAGACAAACAACCAAACAAAUAAAACCCUUUUAAAACCAGCACAAGUACAGUUACAAACUAGCAGGGGUUUUCGAUUGCAGCUUUUUAAAAUUUACCUGGGAACUGUGCUAAACCACUCACGGUGACAAUGAAUUAAGCACCUUUGACAGCUUUCCUGGCCACGGUGUAUCUUAUUUGUCCAUUUAAACAUUAGUGCGUUUGCCAUUAGGUUCAUAGAUCAUUGUUUUCCUGGUGUGUGCAUGAAUGAACAUGUGUGUGCAUGAGUGCAUGUGUGUGUGUGCACAUGCACGUGUGUGUGUGUGUGUGUGUGUGUGUGUGUGUGUGUGUGUGUGUGUGUUUACACAAUGAUUCACGUUAACAGCACUUAGGAAUGUUAGGAGUUUUGCCUUAAAAUUGACUUGGUCUAAUGUUAAUUCAACAAUCUCAGCUUCUUUUAGGUCAGUUUUUGCUUGAAAUUUUUUUUGUACGGAUUUACUUUGAACCUUCAUUGUUCUGUUCCAGGCAUGUUUAGUAUUGUCCUGAAGUGAACCUGAUAUUAUGCGUCAGCACCGAUCCAUAACUGUGAUGACUAACGUGAUUUUACGCUUCUGAUUCACCCCACUUUUUCUUCUCCUUUCCUAUUUUGGAGCCUUUAGAUUUCCUUUAUUCCACCUGUCUUUCACUAGUGGCCUGAGAGAUGUACGCUCUGCUGUUUCUGCUUCACUGGCUUACACGUAAGACUGUAGUGGAGUGUCCCCAACUCCACAGUGACUGGCGGCAUCUUUAACCUUCUUCUGGAUGAUGGAAAGGCCUGGAGAUGUCAACGCUGGUCUCAUUUCCAUCUUUCAUGGAGGUACUUUGGAGAAACUUAGCUUCCAGCUGCUUCCUUUGUGAAGCAGCUCUGAUGCUGUGUAAUUGGAAAGGAUACUCACCUAUCUAAAGGCUAACAUGUUAUGAUAUAUUUGCAUGCAUGCUCACCCAUCACCACAAUCAAGAUCAAGACCACUUUGCUUCCAAAGCCCUAACAGCCAGAACAAUCACAGUUAUAGCAGCCACUCACAUGAUUGAGGUGAGUGUGCCACGUGCUCCAUCCUUUUGCCUGCCUUUGAUUUUCCACCUUACUCUUUUGUCCAAGUUGCUCUCUCUCUCUUUUUUUUUGUCUUGAAUAAACAGAGGCUUCUCACAGUGGCUCUGUGAAUGGUAUGCACCGCGAAUUUACUCCUUUGCCUUCAUGUUUGAAUGGAGCACCAGUUGGAUACAGAAUUCUGUAUCUGAACUUUUUCUCAGCAUUUGGAGAGCAACUGUUCUAUGGCAAGGGAAUAAAAUGGGAAUGUUAAAGAGACAUCAGCACUACCCUGGGCAUUGCAACACAAUUCAUGAUACACAAGAUGUAGACAUGACCUGGGUGUCCAUCAAUGGACAAAAUAGAAAGGAGUAUGUCACCAUGAAACACACAUGAUCCAGGAGGCUACUGCAGGGAAUGCAGAAGGCUUUAGGAUAUUGGACUAGGAAAGUGAUUGAACACUGUUAGCUUCAUGAGCCAUCCUAUCGGGAGCUUGGAAGACAGCAGUGCUGAGAGCUCUGAAGGCUGAAGGGUUAUCAGUAAUCAGUCUUUUCGUAAAUGUGAUCCACGUAAGCCUCCGUGGUCUACAGUGAAGACGACCAAGUGGGGCAAAAUUGAUGUAUAAAGUACCCAGUUUGAAGAGAAAAAGAGUAACAUUUGAGGCAAGACUUGUGCUGGAAGAGAUGAGAAGGUUAAAGAGCGGUCUGAUCAAAAACGGAAUAUGAACGUGUGCCGGGGGCCAGCCCUGGCAGUUCUUCAUUCUUGUUUAGUUCUUUUUGGGGCAGCAGAGGGUGAAGAGUGUUGGCAGGAGUAAGGACUUAUGAAAUAUUUAGGACUGCUGUAUAAUAAUAAAUCAUUUAUCUGCCUUAAGUCUAUUUACCUGUCUUAAGUCACUAUUCAAUAGCUGACCUAUGUGCUGUGAGUUCCUCUGAGGUGAGAAAUUGUUUAGUAUCUCAUCAUAAAACAACAAAGGAUUAAGUGAAAAGAUUUACUGCUGCUGCUCCUUUCUCUGGUAAAUCAGCCAGAAGCCUCUCUGGCUAAGCUGGUUAACUCUUUGUGAACCAGAGAGGAGGGAAAGGAAGAUAAUUAAGAGGCUGUAUACAGGGAAAUAGUCACAGACACAUAUUCAAUAGAAAUAUUCAUAAACCCACACUCUGGCCGGGCACACCUGUCAGUCACAAUCAACUCCUCAAGGAUUCAUGCAGGCUCACAUACAUUACAUAUACCGCACA
rnacentral:lncRNA from 1 species